AAGUCAUAUGCUUGUCUUAAAGAUUAAGCCAUGCAUGUCUAAGUAUAAAUAGUAUACAGUGAAACUGCGAAUGGCUCAUUAAAACAGUUAUAGUUUAUUUGAUAGUGCACAUUACAUGGAUAACCGUGGUAAUUCUAGAGCUAAUACAUGCGUACAUACCUGAAUAUGUAAGGUAGCAUUUAUUAGAUUUAACCAGCAUUAUGGUGAAUCAUAGUAACUUGGCGGACCGCGCUCGUCGUGGUAAAUCAUUCAAGUUUCUGCCCUAUCAGCUUUCGAUGGUAGUGUAUUGGACUACCAUGGCAGUCACGGGUAACGGAGAAUUAGGGUUCGAUUCCGGAGAGGGAGCCUGAGAAACGGCUACCACAUCUAAGGAAGGCAGCAGGCGCGUAAAUUACCCAAUCCCAAUUCGGGGAGGUAGUGACAAGAAAUAACGACUCGAGUGGUUUUCCACUUCGGGAUUGCAAUGAGAUAAUUCUAAAAACUUAAACGAUUACCAAUUGGAGGGCAAGUCUGGUGCCAGCAGCCGCGGUAAUUCCAGCUCCAAUAGCGUAUACUUAAGUUGUUGCAGUUAAAAAGCUCGUAGUUGAAAUUCGGAUUAUCUCUAGUAUGGCUCACGGUCGUGCUAGAGGUGAUUCUCCGUCUACAAACUUCUUUGCUCCUUAAAAGGUGCAGUUUAGCGAGUAGACAUUUUACCUUGAAAAAAUUAGAGUGUUCCAGGCAGGUUCUCGCCGGAAUACAUUAGCAUGGAAUAAUGGAAAAGGACUCUAUCCUUUGUUGGUUUCAGGACAAGAGUAAUGAUUAAUAGGGACAGAUGGGGGCAUUAGUAUUUAAUUGUCAGAGGUGAAAUUCUUGGAUUUAUUAAAGACUAACUUAUGCGAAAGCAUUUGCCAAGGAUGUUUUCAUUAAUCAAGAACGAAAGUUAGGGGAUCAAAGACGAUCAGAUACCGUCGUAGUCUUAACUAUAAACUAUACCGACUCGAGAUCGGAAGGGUCAUAAUUCUUUCGGCAUCGUAAGAGAAAUCAAAGUCUUUGGGUUCUGGGGGGAGUAUGGUCGCAAGGCUGAAACUUAAAGGAAUUGACGGAAGGGCACCACCAGGAGUGGAGCCUGCGGCUUAAUUUGACUCAACACGGGGAAACUUACCAGGUCAAAACAUGGAUGGGAUUGACAGAUUGAAAGCUCUUUCUUGAUUCUAUGGGUGGUGGUGCAUGGCCGUUCUUAGUUGGUGGAGUGAUUUGUCUGGUUAAUUCCGAUAACGAACGAGACCUUAACCUGCUAAAUAGUCCGGUUCUGAAUAAGGGCCGCGACUUCUUAGAGGGACUAUGUAUGUAAAUGCAUGGAAGUUUAAGGCAAUAACAGGUCUGUGAUGCCCCUAGAUGUCCUGGGCCGCACGCGCGCUACACUGACACGUUCAGCGAGCUAAUAACCUGCCUCGAAAGAGUGUGGGAAAUCUUGUUAGGACGUGUCGUGCUGGGGAUAGAUCUUUGCAAUUAUAGAUCUUGAACGAGGAAUUCCUUGUAAGCACCGGUCAUCAGCCUGUGCUGAAUACGUCCCUGCCCUUUGUACACACCGCCCGUCGCUCCUACCGAUUUCGAGUGAUGUGGUGAACUAUCUGGACUGCUUGCGGGCUCGAACCGUGAGCGGGAAGUUUCGUAAACCUUAUCACUUAGAGGAAGGAGAAGUCGUAACAAGGUUUCCGUAGGUGAACCUGCGGAAGGAUCAUUCACACAUAUGAUCACACAUACCUAAGAUUAGUGCGCUCUAGUCAAUUCGUUGGCUAGAGUUCAUAUACACCUAUUUAUCAUAAAUUGAAAAAAAAUAGAAAAUUUUCAACGAUGGAUAUCUGGGUUCCCAUAACGAUGAAGAACGCAGCGAAAUGCGAUACGCAAUGCGAAUAGCAGAUACGCGAGACAUUAGAUUUUCGAACGCAGUUGGCGCUAGUUUACUAGCAUGUUUGUUUCAGUGUGUACGAGUUUUCCAUCGCAAAACUGAAUGUGAUUGAGACUUUCGGGUUUCUCUCAUGAAAUAAGAGAGUGUAUGGGUCAUCAUACCAAAAAUGAAGUAGUCACAUAAUGAUGUGAUCUCAUUUCUGGGGGGACUCAAACAAAGCACUACCUUAAUCUCUUUAUUUGCACCUGAAAUCAAGCAAGAACACCCGCUGAACUUAAGCAUAUCAGUAAGCGGAGGAAAAGAAACUAACAAGGAUUGCCUGAGUAGUGGCGAAUGAAACGGCAACAGCUCAAAGUGUAAAUCUAUAGCAUAGAGUUAUAGAAUUGUAAUCUAAAGGCUUUUUAGGGAAGUCAUGGUUCUAGCAUAAGUUCCUUGAAAAGGGAUGCCAAAGAGGGUAAAAGCCCCGUAUUUGGCUAGGACCGGACGUACCGAAGGGCUCCAAGAGUCGGGUUGUUUGGGACUGCAGCCCUAAAUGGGAGAUAAACUUCUUCUAAAGCUAAAUAUUUAUGGGAAACCGAUAGCAAACAAGUACUACGAAGGAAAGAUGAAAAGAACUUUGAAAAGAGGGUUAAAAGACUUGAAAUCGUUGAAAAGAAAAGCGGUAGAAGAGAAAUGAUUUCGUUUAGUAGUAUGUGGUGUUGUAGUUGCCUUCUGCGGGGAUGGUACUUCAUAGGGCCUACCUGUAGACUGGUGGCGCAUAGCUACUUUUACUGAGCGAAGUGCAAAAUGAGGUCGGAUUCACGGAAAGAGUUCUGCGGAGGACACUAGUCUAGAUACUGGUAGCUGCGGUUCAGAACGUGAGACCGGCCUG
rnacentral:rRNA from 1 species